AACGCUAGCUACAGGCUUAACACAUGCAAGUCGAGGGGAAACGAUAUUGGAAGCUUGCUUCCGAUAGGCGUCGACCGGCGCACGGGUGAGUAACGCGUAUCCAACCUGCCCACCACUUGGGGAUAACCUUGCGAAAGUAAGACUAAUACCCAAUGACGUCUCUAGAAGACAUCUGAAAGGGAUUAAAGAUUUAUCGGUGAUGGAUGGGGAUGCGUCUGAUUAGCUUGUUGGCGGGGUAACGGCCCACCAAGGCGACGAUCAGUAGGGGUUCUGAGAGGAAGGUCCCCCACAUUGGAACUGAGACACGGUCCAAACUCCUACGGGAGGCAGCAGUGAGGAAUAUUGGUCAAUGGGCGAGAGCCUGAACCAGCCAAGUAGCGUGCAGGAAGACGGCCCUAUGGGUUGUAAACUGCUUUUAUAAGGGAAUAAAGUUAGCCACGUGUGGCUAUUUGUAGGUACUGUAUGAAUAAGGACCGGCUAAUUCCGUGCCAGCAGCCGCGGUAAUACGGAAGGUCCAGGCGUUAUCCGGAUUUAUUGGGUUUAAAGGGAGCGUAGGCCGUCUGUUAAGCGUGUUGUGAAAUGUAGAUGCUCAACAUCUGAAUUGCAGCGCGAACUGGCAGACUUGAGUGUGCGCAACGUAGGCGGAAUUCGUGGUGUAGCGGUGAAAUGCUUAGAUAUCACGAAGAACUCCGAUUG
rnacentral:rRNA from 1 species